CUCAGGGGCAGCGGCUCUGUGCCUCCCUCUCUGGGUUGUUGCUGACCUGAGAGCCCGCUGCUCAACUUUCCUCCCGCUGCUGCUGCUGGCUCUUUGAUUCGCCCAUUCCCCUGCUCUGCUUGCGGUGACUGAGGACUCUCUAGGCGGUUUCCAAGAAUUUCUAAUGUGAAAGGAAAAAGCCAGGAAGCGCCAAGGAGGUGCUGCUCUCCAUUGACUGGCAUUGACCGCUCCUGGCCUUUCCCACAAGCACUGGAUGAAGAUGAGCAGCCUGUCCCGAGCAUGACGUCGUUGGCAAAUGUCAUUGCUUCCCACAAAUCGGAGUGGGUCUCCUUCAAUGAUGAGCUGCUCGUGCCGGUUACUUUGCAGGGU
rnacentral:lncRNA from 1 species